UACGUAGGGGGCAAGCGUUGUCCGGAAUCAUUGGGCGUAAAGAGCGUGUAGGCGGCCCGAUAAGUCCGCUGUGAAAGUCCAGGGCUCAACCCUGGAAUGCCGGUGGAUACUGUCGGGCUCGAAUCCGGAAGAGGUGAGUGGAAUUCCUGGUGUAGCGGUGAAAUGCGCAGAUAUCAGGAGGAACACCAAUGGCGAAGGCAGCUCGCUGGGACGUUACUGACACUGAGGCGCGAAAGCGUGGGGAGCGAACAGG
rnacentral:rRNA from 1 species